rnacentral:rRNA from 1 species
GAGGAAUUUUGCGCAAUGGGGGCAACCCUGACGCAGCAACGCCGCGUGAGUGAUGAAGGCCUUUGGGUCGUAAAACUCUGUCAGCAGGAAAGAAGUUAUAUGUGGUUAAUACCCAUGUAUAUUGACGGUACCUGCAAAGGAAGCACCGGCUAACUCCGUGCCAGCAGCCGCGGUAACACGGAGGGUGCAAGCGUUAUUCGGAAUUAUUGGGCGUAAAGGGCGCGUAGGCGGCCGAACAGGUCAGAUGUGAAAGCCCGGGGCUUAACCCCGGAAGUGCAUUUGAAACCUUUUGGCUUGAGUAUGGGAGAGGAGAGCGGAAUUCCUGGUGUAGAGGUGAAAUUCGUAGAUAUCAGGAGGAACACCGGUGGCGAAGGCGGCUCUCUGGACCAAUACUGACGCUGAGGCGCGAAGGCGUGGGUAGCAAAC